ACCUCCCGCUAGGCGGGAGGUUCAAAAAAGCUUAAAGCUAUGAGUAUGUUAUAAAGCUCCUUUUGAUUUGCUAACAUUGGAUUGCGGUCUGGCAACUGCAUCUAUGAAGCAAAUCAAAA
rnacentral:sRNA from 1 species